AUUGAACGCUGGCGGCAGGCCUAACACAUGCAAGUCGAGCGAGCGGCGGACGGGUGAGUAAUGUCUGGGAAACUGCCUGAUGGAGGGGGAUAACUACUGGAAACGGUAGCUAAUACCGCAUACCAUCAGAUGUGCCCAGAUGGGAUUAGCUAGUAGGUGGGGUAAUGGCUCACCUAGGCGACGAUCCCUAGCUGGUCUGAGAGGAUGACCAGCCCACCUUGAACUGAGCACCCGUCCGAACUCCUUCGGGAGGCCGCAGUGGGGAAUUAUUCACAAUGGGCGCAAGCCUUAUUCCGCCCUGCCGCGUGUUGUGAGAAGGCCUUCGGGGUUUAAAGCACUUUCAGCGGGGAGGCGUUACCCGCAGAAGAAGCACCGGCUAACUCCGUGCCAGCAGCCGCGGUAAUAC
rnacentral:rRNA from 1 species